rnacentral:rRNA from 1 species
GACGAACGCUGGCGGCGUGCUUAACACAUGCAAGUCGAACGGAAAGGCCCUGCUUUUGUGGGGUGCUCGAGUGGCGAACGGGUGAGUAACACGUGAGUAACCUGCCCUUGACUUUGGGAUAACUUCGGGAAACUGGGGCUAAUACCGGAUAGGAGCUCCUGCUGCAUGGUGGGGGUUGGAAAGUUUCGGCGGUUGGGGAUGGACUCGCGGCUUAUCAGCUUGUUGGUGGGGUAGUGGCUUACCAAGGCUUUGACGGGUAGCCGGCCUGAGAGGGUGACCGGCCACAUUGGGACUGAGAUACGGCCCAGACUCCUACGGGAGGCAGCAGUGGGGAAUAUUGCGCAAUGGGCGGAAGCCUGAUGCAGCAACGCCGCGUGCGGGAUGACGGCCUUCGGGUUGUAAACCGCUUUCGCCUGUGACGAAGCGUGAGUGACGGUAAUGGGUAAAGAAGCACCGGCUAACUACGUG